UGAACGCUGGCGGCGUGCCUAAUACAUGCAAGUCGAGCGAACGGACGAGAAGCUUGCUUCUCUGAUGUUAGCGGCGGACGGGUGAGUAACACGUGGAUAACCUACCUAUAAGACUGGGAUAACUUCGGGAAACCGUAGCUAAUACCGGAUAAUAUUUUGAACCGCAUGGUUCAAAAGUGAAAGACGGUCUUGCUGUCACUUAUAGAUGGAUCCGCGCUGCAUUAGCUAGUUGGUAAGGUAACGGCUUACCAAGGCAACGAUGCAUAGCCGACCUGAGGGGGUGAUCGGCCACACUGGAACUGAGACACGGUCCAGACUCCUACGGGAGGCAGCAGUAGGGAAUCUUCCGCAAUGGGCGAAAGCCUGACGGAGCAACGCCGCGUGAGUGAUGAAGGUCUUCGGAUCGUAAAACUCUGUUAUUAGGGAAGAACAUAUGUGUAAGUAACUGUGCACAUCUUGACGGUACCUAAUCAGAAAGCCACGGCUAACUACGUG
rnacentral:rRNA from 1 species